GAUGAAGAACGCAGCGAAAUGCGAUACUUGGUGUGAAUUGCAGAAUCCCGUGAACCAUCGAGUCUUUGAACGCAAGUUGCGCCCGAAGCCAUCAGGUUGAGGGCACGUCUGCCUGGGCGUCACAUAUCGUUGCCCAAUGCCUAUUGCAGUGCAAUAGGAAUUUCCAGGGCGAAUGAUGGCUUCCCGUGAGCGUUGUUGCCUCGCGGUUGGUUGAAAAUCGAGUCCUUGGUAGGGUGUGCCAUGGUAGAUGGUGGUCGAGUUAGAACGAUACCGAUCAUGUGCAUGCUCCCCAAAAUAUGGCCUCUAUGACCCACACGCGUCUUUUGACGCUCAUGACGAGACCUCAGGUCAGGCGGGGCUACCCGCUGAAUUUAAGCAUAUCAAUAAGCGGAGGA
rnacentral:misc_RNA from 1 species